rnacentral:rRNA from 1 species
GAAGGUGGCCUGUGAGGGUUGCUGGAGGUAUCAGAAGUGCGAAUGCUGACAUAAGUAACGAUAAAGCGGGUGAAAAGCCCGCUCGCCGGAAGACCAAGGGUUCCUGUCCAACGUUAAUCGGGGCAGGGUGAGUCGACCCCUAAGGCGAGGCCGAAAGGCGUAGUCGAUGGGAAACGGGUUAAUAUUCCCGUACUUGGUGUUACUGCGAAGGGGGGACGGAGAAGGCUAUGUUGGCCGGGCGACGGUUGUCCCGGUUUAAGCGUGUAGGUGUGUGUUCCAGGUAAAUCCGGUUCACUUUAACACUGAGGCGUGAUGACGAGGCACUACGGUGCUGAAGUAACAAAUGCCCUGCUUCCAGGAAAAGCCUCUAAGCAUCAGGUAACAUCAAAUCGUACCCCAAACCGACACAGGUGGUCAGGUAGAGAAUACCAAGGCGCUUGAGAGAACUCGGGUGAAGGAACUAGGCAAAAUGGUGCCGUAACUUCGGGAGAAGGCACGCUGACACGUAGGUGAAGUGAUUUACUCACGGAGCUGAAGUCAGUCGAAGAUACCAGCUGGCUGCAACUGUUUAUUAAAAACACAGCACUGUGCAAACACGAAAGUGGACGUAUACGGUGUGACGCCUGCCCGGUGCCGGAAGGUUAAUUGAUGGGGUCAGCGCAAGCGAAGCUCCUGAUCGAAGCCCCGGUAAACGGCGGCCGUAACUAUAACGGUCCUAAGGUAGCGAAAUUCCUUGUCGGGUAAGUUCCGACCUGCACGAAUGGCGUAAUGAUGGCCAGGCUGUCUCCACCCGAGACUCAGUGAAAUUGAACUCGCUGUGAAGAUGCAGUGUACCCGCGGCAAGACGGAAAGACCCCGUGAACCUUUACUAUAGCUUGACACUGAACAUUGAGCCUUGAUGUGUAGGAUAGGUGGGAGGCUUUGAAGUGUGGACGCCAGUCUGCAUGGAGCCGACCUUGAAAUACCACCCUUUAAUGUUUGAUGUUCUAACGUGGACCCGUUACCCGGGUUGCGGACAGUGUCUGGUGGGUAGUUUGACUGGGGCGGUCUCCUCCUAAAGAGUAACGGAGGAGCACGAAGGUUGGCUAAUCCUGGUCGGACAUCAGGAGGUUAGUGCAAUGGCAUAAGCCAGCUUGACUGCGAGCGUGACGGCGCGAGCAGGUGCGAAAGCAGGUCAUAGUGAUCCGGUGGUUCUGAAUGGAAGGGCCAUCGCUCAACGGAUAAAAGGUACUCCGGGGAUAACAGGCUGAUACCGCCCAAGAGUUCAUAUCGACGGCGGUGUUUGGCACCUCGAUGUCGGCUCAUCACAUCCUGGGGCUGAAGUAGGUCCCAAGGGUAUGGCUGUUCGCCAUUUAAAGUGGUACGCGAGCUGGGUUUAGAACGUCGUGAGACAGUUCGGUCCCUAUCUGCCGUGGGCGCUGGAGAACUGAGGGGGGCUGCUCCUAGUACGAGAGGACCGGAGUGGACGCAUCACUGGUGUUCGGGUUGUCAUGCCAAUGGCACUGCCCGGUAGCUAAAUGCGGAAGAGAUAAGUGCUGAAAGCAUCUAAGCACGAAACUUGCCCCGAGAUGAGUUCUCCCUGAGACUUUAGGUCUCCUGAAGGAACGUUGAAGACGACGACGUUGAUAGGCCGGGUGUGUAAGCGCAGCGAUGCGUUGAGCUAACCGGUACUAAUGAACCGUGAGGCUUAACCUUACAA